rnacentral:lncRNA from 1 species
UUUCAAACCAGCCCAGGUCUGCUUCCCUCCUUUUCGUAAAACUCUGAGUGUAUGGGCUGUUUUCUGUACUGAACCUGUAACUAUUUGCUGUGUUUCAAAACUUCCUACAGUCUGUUACUGAACUUUUACAACUGAUUUGCAUACCUUUUUCUCAAAACUCAUCCGCAGUUUUUUUAAAUCUCCCGUUUGAAACUCAUGUUUUCGUUUUGUAAAACUUGUCUGCAACUCCAAGUAUUUUAAGUUCGACUCCUGUUUGCAACGAUAGUCUUUUACUCUAAAGUCUUACUGAUUUUAUAAGGCCUGUCGACUUCUAAAACAUGCCCGGGGAGCUCGAAGCAGAUUUUCUAUCCCAACUCUUAUGUGUUAAACUAAUCUUCCCGCUUUCCUAACCUUUUUUAAAGACCAAAGCAGUAAUUGAAGUCAUGCUAAACUACUUGUCGUUUGUUAUGGGGUUUACUUGAGCCUUAAUUAUAUAUGCACUUUCCUUUUAUUUGCUACUUGUUUUCCUUUUAACUGUCACUCUAGUAUUUUACCUUUUAGUACUCCAUAUAUGUAUCCUACUUCCUUCUCCCCCUUUCUUAUGAUUAGAAGUCCUAGUGCCCCGGGACUAACAGGUUGGGAUGUGUAUUAGCAUGAAAUAAGUAAACGAUACCAACGCGCUUUAAUACCUUAACGGGUGGGAAGGGUAGAAUAUGGAGAUGAUGAUGAUGCAAUAAUAUCAUGAAGCGACCCCUCUUUGGGAAUAUGAUCUAGAUAUUGCAUUGAAUGAUCCAUAUUAUAGUUAAACCUAGGACCCUUCUUUCGUUUCUAUGUAUUUUAUUGUUUUCUCAAUUCUUUCCAAACUAAUCCUCUUUUAUUUCAAACUUAUGCCCUUUUCUUUAAAGUUCAAAUUAUGCAAAUAUGUGUACUUCAUUUGUCUACUUGCUUCAUAUUCUUUUAAAGUCACAAUUAGUACGGUCGGGAACCACAUUUGUGGAUCUUGAGGGGUUUCUAACACCUUCCCCUCGAGAUAAUCUCAAGCCCUUACCCAACUCUGGUUUCUCUCUCAAACACACUCUCUUAAAGUGUCCUAAUGCACUAUAAUCAUUAGGUGAUGACUCUUCCAAUCCCAUAACACAAUUCCCAAAUGGGAAAUAGAGUUAUUUUGCUCAUAAUGUCAUGAAACCCGAUUUCUCUCUUUGAAAAAGGGGGGGCGUCGGCAGCAUGGCGACUCUGCUGGGGACUUCUUUUAGGCCUUUACCACUACGUGUUUUUGUGACUUUAAAUUGUUUUCUUUAUUUAUUGCUUCAAUUAUUUUUCACAAUUAAUAACUUCUUUCUUCGUGUCUUUCUUUAAUUGUUUUACGGCUUUAUUGCAUUUACCUCAUUUCAAUUCAGUCAUUAAUUUCGAG